GGCCUACCAUGGUUUUAACGGGUAACGGGGAAUUAGGGUUCGAUUCCGGAGAGGGAGCCUGAGAAACGGCUACCACAUCUAAGGAAGGCAGCAGGCGCGCAAAUUACCCAAUCCUGAUUCAGGGAGGUAGUGACAAUAAAUAACAAUCCAGGGCUUUUGUCUUGGAAUUGGAAUGAGUACAAUUUAAAUCCCUUAACGAGGAACAAUUGGAGGGCAAGUCUGGUGCCAGCAGCCGCGGUAAUUCCAGCUCCAAUAGCGUAUAUUAAAGUUGUUGCAGUUAAAAAGCUCAUAGUUGAACUUCGAGAUUCGUCCAUUGGUCAGGCUUAACUGUCUGUACCGAUGUUUCGGAUUUCUACCUUCUGAAGAACCUUCAUGCCAUUAAUUUGGUGUGUUGGGGAAUCAGGACUAUUACUUUGAAAAAAUUAGAGUGUUUAAAGCAGGCUAACGUCUGAAUACAUUAGCAUGGAAUAAUGAAAUAGGACGGUACGGUUCUAUUUUGUUGGUUUCUAGGAUCGCCGUAAUGAUUAAUAGGGAUAGUUGGGGGCAUUAGUAUUCAAUUGUCAGAGGUGAAAUUCUUGGAUUUAUUGAAGACUAACUACUGCGAAAGCGUUUGCCAAGGAUGUUUUCAUUAAUCAAGAACGAAAGUUAAGGGAUCGAAGACGAUCAGAUACCGUCGUAGUCUUAACCAUAAACUAUGCCGACUAGGGGUUGGACGAUGUUAAUUUUUAAAUGACUCGUUCAGCACCUUACGGGAAACCAAAGUGUUUGGGUUC
rnacentral:rRNA from 1 species